rnacentral:tRNA from 1 species
GGCCCUGUAACUUAGUGGCAAAGCGGCUGACCGUUGAUCAGUAGACCGAGGUUCGAUUCCUCGCGGGGCCU